rnacentral:rRNA from 1 species
AACGAACGCUGGCGGCAUGCCUAACACAUGCAAGUCGAACGAGACCUUCGGGUCUAGUGGCGCACGGGUGCGUAACGCGUGGGAACCUGCCCUUAGGUUCGGAAUAACUCCCCGAAAGGGGUGCUAAUACCGGAUAAUGUCUUCGGACCAAAGAUUUAUCGCCUUUGGAUGGGCCCGCGUUGGAUUAGCUAGUUGGUAGGGUAAAGGCCUACCAAGGCGACGAUCCAUAGCUGGUCUGAGAGGAUGAUCAGCCACACUGGGACUGAGACACGGCCCAGACUCCUACGGGAGGCAGCAGUGGGGAAUAUUGGAAAAUGGGCGAAAGCCUGAUCCAGCAAGGCCGCGUGAGUGAUGAAGGCCUUAGGGUUGUAAAGCUCUUUUACCCGGGAUGAUAAUGACAGUACCGUGAGAAUAAGCUCCGGCUAACUCCGUG